rnacentral:tRNA from 1 species
GCCAGAGUAGCUCAGAUGGUUAGAGCGCCGCACUCAUAACGCGGAGGUCGGCGGUUCAAUCCCGCCCUCUGGUACCA